rnacentral:rRNA from 1 species
GUGUCAGCCGCCGCGGUAAUACGGAAGGUCCAAGCGUUAAUCGGAAUUACUGGGCGUAAAGCGCGCGUAGGUGGUUUUUUAAGUUGGAUGUGAAAGCCCUGGGCUCAACCUAGGAACUGCAUCCAAAACUAGAUGACUAGAGUACGAAAGAGGGAAGUAGAAUUCACAGUGUAGCGGUGGAAUGCGUAGAUAUUGUGAAGAAUACCAAUGGCGAAGGCAGCUUCCUGGUUCUGUACUGACACUGAGGUGCGAAAGCGUGGGUAGCGAACAGGAUUAGAUACCCUGGUAGUCCACGCCGUAAACGAUGACAACUAGCUGUUGGGAGACAAGAUCUCUCAGUGGCGCAGCUAACGCUUUAAGUUGUCCGCCUGGGGAGUACGGCCGCAAGGUUAAA